rnacentral:miRNA from 1 species
UGACGUCAUGCUCGAUUGGCUC